rnacentral:misc_RNA from 1 species
GGUUGUUUGUGAGAAGUGUGCCGGGUUUCUAACUGUGGAAAAACCGUUUGAUUCAUAUAAUUAACAUUUCAGCGGUACGUGUGCACGCUCCGUACGGCCGAUGGUGAGACCGCAACAGCAGGCGGGUGCCGCCGAGCCCGCCGGCGCCGAGCCGGCCGAGCAGUCUGCGCCGCUGCCGCCUCUGAACGGCGACUGCAGCGGCCACGGCGGGCCGACGGACGGCUGCGCGCCGGCCGUGCCGCUGGUCAUGUCGUCGCCGCCGCCGACCGACGGUGUGCGCUACACGCCGUCGCCGCACUCUCAGGACUCUGCGUCGCCGCCGCAGGCCGCCGCCAGCCCGCAUGUGGUGCUGCUACACAUAGUGGACGGAGAGAGCAUUCAGUUCCAGCGCGGGGACAAUGUGGAGCUCAUACAAGGUCCCGCCACGGUGCAGAUGGUCUCGACCAACUCGUCGCCGCCGAUGGCGUACCCGGUUCAGGUACCUCCGGGUCACAUGAUGCAGCAGGUGGUGGACGGAACAGGUACCCUGCGGCACGUCAUCCUCUCGCCGGAGCCGAGAGCGCUGGCCACCAUGCCGCCCUAUAGCACGAGCCAGCCGCCGCCGCCGUUCUACCCGGCCCCUCCGCCGCCGCAGGGGUUCGGUCCACCCCCGUACCCCCCUCACGCCAUGUACGGAGCGGGGGGACAGCAGACGGGAGCCGGUCUCCUGGCGGCUGGAGCAGCGCCCAUGCAGCAGGGUCCCUCGCCGCCGCCGCAGCAGACCCAGAUGCCGCCGCCGCACGGUCCCAAGGACCAGCGCUCCCAGCGCCGUAUCCAGAGGAUGCGCCGAAAGCUAAACGAGAAGCAGCGGCCGCCGGCCGGCGGCUCGCGCGCCUCGCCCUCCCCGUCGCCGUCGCCAGGUGACCACAAGAACGGCCGUCGCACCGCCUCUGAGCCGGAGGAGAAUGGAGAGCCGAGUGGGGACAGUACCAGCUCCGUGUGUAGUCAACAGGACGACGAGGACCGAGCCGUCUGCGAGUUCCUCUCCAAACUGCGGCCGCCGCAGGUGUCAGAGAUCACGCGCGGCUCGGCGCUGGUUAGCUGGGCGCACCCGGACGUCACCGUCGACCAGCUGAGUAUUGCGCCCGACCAGCUCAGCUACGAGCUCAGUAUGGCUGAGAGCCGCUCGGGCUCCGGAGGCAGCGCACCGCCGCCGCCGGCUGCCUUCCGGCGAGUGUGCGCCGACAGAACUGUGUCGGCAGAGCUGACACAGCUGCGACCGGCCACCACCUACUACCUGACCCUGCAGUGCAGUCUUGCAGCUCUGCAGGGCACCGUCACCGCGCCUGUGAGCUUCACCACGCUAGCGGCACCCCCAGAGCAGCCGCGGCCGCCCACACUUCUUAGCAAGACCAAGACCAACCUCCACGUCAAGUGGUCGGCGCCGGCCGACAACGGCUCGCGGAUCAGCCAGUACGUGCUCGAGUGUGACGCCGGCCAGGGUUUCAGCGAGGUGACGCGCUGCCGCAGCAAGCAGCACACGGUGACCCACCUGCAGCCGGCCACCGCCUACCGGCUGCGGGUGGCCGCCUGUAACGAGCUGGGCCAGGGCCCGUUCUCUGAGCUGGUGACGCUGCAGACGGCCGGCCUGGUGCCGCCGCCGCCCGAGCCGCCGCGGCUCGACGAGGCCACCGCCGCGCAGCUGUCGCUCAGCUGGAGCCGGCGGCCCACCGAUGACUCGUUCGACGUGCACAUGGAGAAGGACGGCUCCAAGUACGGCUUCCUGGCGCUCUACAGUGGGCCGGACACGCGUCACCGGGCUAAUGGGCUGACCAGGAACACCAGCUACCGGUUCAAGCUGCGGGCGAUUAACGAGGAGGGGGCCUCUCGCUGGUCGGAGACGGUCAGCUACCGGACGUGCUGCCUGCCGCCGGCGGCUCCUGCCCGGCCGGCGGUGAGGGGCCGGGUCCACGCACACCAGGCGCGUGUGCGCUGGGAGCCUCCGGCCGACACGGGCGGCGGGGGGAUCGCCGAGUACCGGCUGCAGCUGCUGAGCGCUGGCGGCCAGUGGACGACCGUGUACAGCGGCGCCGAGCUGGAGCACACGGUGACCGGCCUGCAGCCGGGCACCGCGCACCAGAUGAGGGUGUGCUGUGUCGGUGAGGGCGGCCUCAGCGAGCCCUCCGAGCCGGCCACGGUCACCACCGAAGCCGUCUGUCCCGGCCGCUGUGCGCCGCCCCGGCUCCACGGGAAGCCUCGUGCCACAUCCUGUCACGUCAAAUGGGCGGCGCCGGAGUUUUGCGGCGGCGCGUCCGGCACUCUGGCGCUGGAGUACGAGCUCGAGCUGACCCUGGACGAGCCGACUGACGGAGUGGAGGAGCCGCCGGCCGCCAGUCGGGUGUACAGUGGCUCGGAUACAGAGUGUACCGUGUCCACCCUGCUGCCCGGCCGGCCCUACCGGCUACAGGUGCGCGCGGUGAACCGUGUCGGCGCCGGUCCGUGGUCCGAGUCUCUGUCUGUACUGAGCGGCGCCGGACCGCCCUCCCCGCCCGCCGCGCCCUCCGUGUCAGCCCGCUCGCCGCACGCGCUGCUGGUGCGCUGGGCGGAGCCGGCAUCCAACGGCGCCGCCGUCACCGAGUACCGGCUGGAGCUGGCCGUGGGCAGUGCCGCCUUCCAGCCGGUCUACACGGGCACGGCGCUGCAGCACGAGGCGCGCGGACUGCAGCCGGCCACUGCCUACCGGCUGCGGGUGUCGGCCUCCAACUCUGCCGGCGCCGGGCCGCCCUCUGAGCCGACUGUGACGGUUACCCCGGCGGCCUCGCCCGCGGCCGUCACCUGCGUGGAGGCCGAGCCGACGGCCACCAGCCUGACACUGAGCUGGCAGCCGCCGGCCGACCACGGCGCCGAGGUGCUCCACUACACUGUGGAGGUCUCCGAGAGGCUGUGCAGCACGGCCGGCCCGCAGCCGCGGCUCACUGUCAACCAGCUGGCGCCCGACACCGUCUAUAGGAUACGUGUUCAGGCGGUGAACAGCGUGGGUCCCGGCCCGUUCAGCGCCGUCUACCGCUGGAGCACCCUGAGCCUGCCGCCGGCGCCGCCGCCCCUCGAGGUCACCCACACGGCGCACAACUUCGUCCGCCUCCGCUGGGGCGACGUCAAACAGCAGACGGAGCGUAUCGUGUACUCGCUAGAGUGCGAGGCCAAGAAUGGAGAGUUUUACGUGGUGUACGAGGGCAGCGGCACCCAGUUCAAGAUGGCCCGCCUCUCCGAGGACACCGAGUAUCGGCUGAGAAUCUGCGCGGCCAACGAGGCCGGCGAGGGGCCCUACUCGAAUGUGGUCAGCACGCGCACCACCCGACAGCCGCCGCCCUCCGUCAGAGGUCUGCGUCUGGGCGACCGGACGGAGCGCAGCUGUACCCUGGAGUGGCUGCCGGUCAAGUCUGGCGCGUCGGCCGACCAGAGGCCCAGCUAUGAGCUGCAGCUGACGCCGGCCGGCCGGCAGCACGAGUUCCAGACGGUGUACACUGGCCCGGAGGUGCAGUACCGCCUGACCGGCCUGGAGCCCCAGACCGACUACCAGGCGCGCGUCUGCUGCCGGCCCGUCACCGGGGAGUGUGGACCGUUCACCGCUCCGCUGCGGUUCACCACGCCCGCGGCGCCGCCGCCGCCGCCGGCCGCCCGCGCUGCCGCCGCCACCUCCCAGACUGCCAAGGCGGCCGAGCGGAAGCCGUGGACAGAGCAGCAGUGGGCCGUGGUCAUCCUGGGCGCGUUCGCGGCCGUCGCUGUACUGCUGGCCGUCCUCGUACAGCAAAUCAUGGUUAUGAUGUCGUAGUGCAGCGCGUUUCGCCCGGACCCGACCCGACCCUGAUAUAUACCGUCUAUUUUAUUACGUGGUUGUACGUGCCCUCUGUGUCCAGAUUUUAUCUGGCGGGUGCGCGUCUGUCGGUCUGUCGCGUCCUGUCCCCCCUUCCUCCCCGCCACGCCCCGUCCCACCAGAGGCGCUGUGAUCGCGCCGGGACACGGCUGGACCGAGAUACGCGCGGGAGACAGACGAAGCACGGGCCGCUGUCCUAACCGCCGAGCGCAAACACCUAUAAACAGGUAAAUCACCAGACCAAUGUGCCACCGGAGAGGACUGCAGUGUCUCCGCGCUCGGCGGGGGUGGCUCGUGUGGUUCGUCUGACCGUCAGUGGUUGUGUGUGCGCGCGCGGUGUUCGGUGUUCUCUCGGGGGCGAACGGCGGCGGCGGGCGGCCUGUCCUCUCCGGUGUCCUAGGUGUGGCUCCAAGACAAUCCCGCGUGCGUGGCGCGGUUCGCGUGUACAAAUUGAACGCUGCAUUUAUGUCUCAUUUAUGUCUGCCGGCGGGCCGGGGCGCUCGGCGAGCAGCGUCCGGCCCGGCCGGCUGUUUUGUUUUAUUGUCAGGGUUUUGCUCGGGCGUCGCGUGCUGGGGCGGUGUCAGAGUCUGAGCGACAGACGAGAAGUGCGGUAAGAGCUGGGCAAUCGGCGAGCCCGCCCCGGCCUCUCGGUAGUUUUAUUUUUGUUUGCAUCGCUUGCUGGACACGGACGCAAGCAUCCAUUCCACACAAGGCACAAAAUCGUGUUUUGGAUGCGAAUUUCCGUUAUCGAAUAGCUUUACCAGAGGGAUUGUUUAUCGAGCGUUAUACUGCAAUUAAAUAUAUAUUUACUGUUAUAGCACUGCUUGGCGAGCACGCUGCGGCCGGGCGGUGCGUCUCUGGUGACAAUCGCCGGCCUCUCCCGCCCACAGCCCCUUUUCAAUGGCGCCCGCCGGUGUGGUUAUGUGAUUAAGACAUGGAUGGAUUGGACAUGGCGCACACACGGACUGGCGCACGCGGACGCGCCUCUCCUAUCUAUUAUAUAUAUAAACUGGCUAUAUUCUGUUGUCUGAUGCAUUCCAAAAUAAACAGGCUACGUUGA